GUAAAGUGAUGAAGACGUCCAUCCUUUCUCCAAGCAUGCGGCCCUGUCUGCCCUCUGGCUCUGAAUUCGUGGCCAGCGGAUGUCCUGUGGUCUUCAGCUUCUGCUGGGGACAGUGGGUGGGUGGGGCCUGCGUCAGGAUUGGGACAGUGGCAGCCAAGAUGGCACCCCUUCUGUUUGGGAUCCCCUCGGGCUGAGAUGGAGGCUGGUGGUCUGAUCAC